UCCCCCUAAACAAAGACUCUUUAAAGACUACAUUGUAAAUGCUAUUGUGUUAUGGUAUGAGAAUGAAGAUCUUCUAUUUAUAAUGCCAAAACCCUUUCCUCCAACAAAGAGGUUUGUCAAAUAUGAAAAAAAUUUAUAUUUUCCUUUCAGGAAAAGUAAAAGUAUUUAUGGUUACUUUUAUUUUUCUUACAAGAAAAAGUAAAACUUAAAUUUGGCAAGAAAAUCGGGGCAAAAAUCCUAACAAAUCUUCCCUUUUUGGCUUGAUUUUCUUCAAAAUAUUCUUGAUCCUCCUUCUUCUUGUGCAUGAUCUUCGUUCUUCAUAUAUAUUCUUUAUAUAUCGCUGCUGUUUGACAUGUUUAAAAAUAAAGCUUUUGGGGUUAAAUAAUAUAUUAGUCCUUUUCGGGUUAAAAAUAUUGGAACCCUUUUGCAGGGUUAAAAGUGAGCUUUAUUUUCAAAUAUAUGACAGCAGGAUUGUUGAAAAUAUGAUUGACAAUUAUCUCUACAUGUAGCUUUUGGACAUAUAUCUUCGUUAUCAUCAAAUUGGUUGCAGCUGGAUUUUGAAACCGCUUUGAACCUGUUUAAUCUCGUCUCACCACACCGUUGGACCAUUGAAUCGUAAGCUUUGAUACCACUUGUUGGGUUCGAAAUCGAGAGGACGUCAUGCGGAAGCUAUUAGUUGCAAACCAUAAAGACAAUAACUCAGAUGACAAAGAAAAACAUACUAAAAACAUAGUAUUAUUAUGUGAUUUGGCCAAUUGGCCUACAUAUAAAACCUAAUAUUAAAAAUAAUAUUAAAAAAUAUAAAACCAAUGAGAGAGAAAAUCCCCCUCUAAGCAAAGACUCUUUAAAGACUACAUUGUGGAUG
rnacentral:lncRNA from 1 species